GAUUAAUGCUGGCGGCGUGCCUAACACAUGCAAGUCGAGCGGCAGCGCGGGUAGUUUACUACCUGGCGGCGAGCGGCGGACGGCUGAGUAACGCGUGGGAACAUACCCCAAAGUGAGGAAUAACUGCCCGAAAGGGUGGCUAAUGCCGCAUAUGAUCUUCGGAUUAAAGGAUUUAUCCGCUUUGGGAAUGGCCUGCGUACGAUUAGAUAGUUGGUGAGGUAAAGGCUCACCAAGUCGACGAUCGUUAACUGGUCUAAGAGGAUGAUCAGUCAGACUGGAACUGAGAUACGGUCCAGACUCCUACGGGAGGCAGCAGUGAGGAAUCUUCCACAAUGGGCGAAAGCCUGAUGGAGCAACGCCGCGUGCAGGAUGAAGGCCUUCGGGUCGUAAACUGCUUUUAUCUGUGAUGAAUAUGACAGUAACAGAAGAAAUAAGACUACCGGCUAACUACGUGACCAGCAGCCGCGGUAAUG
rnacentral:rRNA from 1 species